UCCCUCGUUCAUACAUAGAUAGUGAAGGUCGUUCUAAAGUAGGUGGCGUUUCGGGGCCGUUCGUGCGCCGUUGCAGGGCCCACUAGAGGAGGAUGGUGGAGGAUUGUGUCGUGGGUGCAGGCGCAACAUUACCUGCUGCCGGAGUUGUUGGGCCAGACUGCGGAGACGUCUUGGCGCGCUUCCCCUGCCUCUGAUGAAGCCUGUGUUGUAAUGAUGCCAGAAGUGGAUGUUUUGUGCCUUAUGAGGGCGUCAUGUGGACAGUUACAUGCCAAAGGGGGAUGAGAGGGCUGCUGAGGUCCUUAAGAGGAAACCUCUAACAAUGUCUACACAGGCAUUGAACAAACCUGCAAUUUUAAAAUGGUGGAGUGGCUUGUUUGGACCAACCUAACAUACUAUUGGUUAACACGUUUUUAAAUCGUUGGAUGGCUUGCUUUUGGUGCAGAUUUUGGAAGCCAUUGAAAUUGAAGGUAUGAGGAGUCUGAAAACUGUAAUGCAUGGGGACAACAAGAAAUUACCAGACAAGGAAUAAGAAUGUACAUGUGGAAGAGUGCAGGUAGACUUCCUGUUCACCCUAUAAACUUGAAGGGCCUUUAUGAUGGCAGCAACCUUGUGGCUUAGCUUUUAGAAGGUACAGGAUGGAUGUUCAUGGGAUAGAAGAUGAAGCAUUAAAAUGUAAUAAAUUGCUACAAACCUGGAA